rnacentral:rRNA from 1 species
UACGAAGGGGGCUAGCGUUGCUCGGAAUCACUGGGUGUAAAGCGCACGUAGGCGGAUUGCUAAGUCAGGGGUGAAAUCCUGGAGCUCAACUCCAGAACUGCCUUUGAUACUGGCGAUCUUGAGUCCGGGAGAGGUGAGUGGAACUGCGAGUGUAGAGGUGAAAUUCGUAGAUAUUCGGAAGAACACCAGUGGCGAAGGCGGCUCACUGGCCCGGUACUGACGCUGAAAUACGAAAGCGUGGGGAGCAAACAGG